rnacentral:rRNA from 1 species
GUGGCAGCAGCCGCGGUAAUACGAAGGGGGCUAGCGUUGCUCGGAAUCACUGGGCGUAAAGGGUGCGUAGGCGGGUCUUUAAGUCAGGGGUGAAAUCCUGGAGCUCAACUCCAGAACUGCCUUUGAUACUGAAGAUCUUGAGUUCGGGAGAGGUGAGUGGAACUGCGAGUGUAGAGGUGAAAUUCGUAGAUAUUCGCAAGAACACCAGUGGCGAAGGCGGCUCACUGGCCCGAUACUGACGCUGAGGCACGAAAGCGUGGGGAGCAAACAGGAUUAGAUACCCUAGUAGUC